GCCAGUCCUGUUCGGUCUUGGUUCAUGUGCUUUAUGGUAACUGAUGAGACCAGGCCCAUUCAUGCCCAUGUUCUAGUCCUAUGGAAGAAGCUGUAAACCUUGGACUUAAUUAGUUCCAGAGAACUGCUGGUUUAUGUUUUAGCUCUUGCCAAGUUGUGAAAAUAGUGAAGGAUGCUUAGACUACUUAACAUUCAAAUUGCUCUCUGGUUAAUCAUCUUUAGAAGAUUGGAUUGCUGGACAUCUACUCCACUCCUCUAUUGACUUUUAAGCUAUGAUAAUGCAAACCUAUAACACUGGCAAUCAUCCAUGAACCUUUAAUUGCACUGAUUAAUAGCGUUUCAAGCUUCCUCAGGGAAUACACAAUGACAUCAGCUGUGGUUGACAGUGGAGGAGGUUCUGUUUUGGAGCUUUCCAGCAGUGGAGUAGAGAAUCAAGAGGAAGGUGAGAAGGUUUCUGACUAUCCAGCAGUGAUUGUGGAGCCAGUUCCCAGUGCCAGAUUAGAGCAGGGCUAUGCAGCCCAGGUUCUGGUUUAUGAUGAUGAGACUUAUAUGAUGCAAGAUGUGGCAGAAGAACAAGAAGUUGAGACCGAGAAUGUGGAAACAGUGGAAGCAUCAGUUCAUAGCAGUAAUGCACACUGUACAGAUAAGACAAUUGAAGCUGCUGAAGCCCUGCUUCAUAUGGAAUCUCCUACCUGCUUGAGGGAUUCAAGAAGUCCUGUGGAAGUGUUUGUCCCUCCUUGUGUAUCAACUCCAGAAUUUAUCCAUGCUGCUAUGAGGCCAGAUGUCAUUACAGAAACUGUAGUGGAGGUGUCAACUGAAGAAUCUGAACCAAUGGAUACCUCUCCUAUUCCUACAUCACCUGAUAGCCAUGAACCAAUGAAAAAGAAAAAAGUUGGCCGUAAACCGAAGACCCAGCAAUCACCAAUUUCCAAUGGUUCUCCUGAGUUGGGUAUAAAGAAGAAACCCAGAGAAGGAAAAGGAAACACAACCUACUUGUGGGAGUUUCUUUUAGAUCUACUUCAAGAUAAAAAUACUUGUCCCCGAUAUAUUAAGUGGACUCAGAGAGAAAAGGGCAUAUUCAAGCUUGUAGAUUCAAAGGCUGUCUCUAAGCUUUGGGGAAAGCAUAAGAACAAGCCAGACAUGAACUAUGAAACCAUGGGACGAGCUUUGAGAUAUUAUUACCAAAGGGGUAUUCUUGCAAAGGUUGAAGGACAGAGGCUUGUUUAUCAGUUCAAGGAUAUGCCCAAAAACAUAGUGGUCAUAGACGAUGACAAAAGUGAAACCUGCAAUGAAGAUUUGGCAGCAGCUACUGAUGAAAAGUCAUUAGAACGAGUGUCGCUAUCUGCAGAAAGUCUCCUGAAAGCAACCUCUGUUCGUGGUGGGAAAAACUCUUCUCCUCUAAACUGCUCCAGAGCAGAGAAGGGAGUAGCGAGAGUUGUGAAUAUCACUUCCCCUGGUCAUGAUGCUUCGUCCAGGUCUCCUACUACUACCACAUCUGUAUCAGCGACAGCAGCCCCAAGGACAGUUCGUGUGGCAAUGCAAGUUCCUGUUGUAAUGACAUCGUUGGGCCAGAAAAUUUCAACUGUGGCAGUUCAGUCAGUUAAUGCAGGUGCACCAUUAAUAACCAGCACUAGUCCAACAACAGCAACCUCUCCAAAGGUAGUUAUUCAGACAAUCCCUACUGUGAUGCCAGCCUCUACUGAAAGUGGAGACAAAAUCACCAUGCAGCCUGCCAAAAUUAUCACCAUCCCAGCUACACAGCUUGCACAGUGUCAACUGCAGACGAAGUCAAAUCUGACUGGAUCUGGAAGCAUUAACAUUGUUGGAACCCCACUGGCUGUGAGAGCACUUACUCCUGUUUCCAUAGCCCAUGGUGCACCUGUAAUGAGGCUAUCAGUGCCUACUCAACAGGCAUCUGGCCAGACUCCUCCCCGAGUGAUCAGUGCGGUCAUAAAAGGGCCAGAGGUUAAAUCGGAGGCAGUGACAAUAAAGCAGGAACAUGACGUGAAAACUUUGCAGCUGGUACAAGAAGAAAAACCAGCAGACGGAAAUAAGACAGUGACCCAUGUAGUGGUUGUCAGUGCCCCUUCAGCUAUUGCCCUGCCCGUAACUAUGAAAACGGAAGGACUAGUGACAUGUGAGAAAUAAAAGAGCAGCUCUGCCAUGGACUUUAGACAUGUUAGUAACAGUACUAACAUAAAUGUUUGCAAGGGAUGUCAUCAAGAAAAGUCAAAAGGAGACUUUAAAACAUUUUUAAUGCAUAUAGGAAAACAAUCAAACUUACUGGAAAUAAGUUACCUGUCCCAUGUUUCAGUGGGAAAUGAACUACAUGUUGAGAUGCUGACAGAAAACUGCCUCUUACCUAGGAAACAACUGAACCCAUCAAUAAAAGGAUUGAAAGGGACCAAGCAACUCACUACAAUGUCAAGUUACACUAAGACUUGGAACACUAACAUUCUGGAUGUUUCAAACAAGAACCUAAAAGGAUAGCGUGAACAUUAUUUCCCUCCCCUACAGAGCAAUAGGCUCUAUCCUUCGGCCUAGGUGUGUAGUGGGCUGUACCACCGCAGUUUGUGUAAGUAUGAUGUUCACGUGAUGCUGACACCUGCUAAUGACACAUUUCUCAGAACAUGUCUCUCUCAAUAAGUGGCUGGUGACUGUUGUUGGAUACCUGAAAUUCACAUAUUAGUUUGACUUUCAUUCUCAUUCAGAUUUGUUUACUCAAGGCUGUCAUGAUCUCUCUUCAGGUUGGUGUACUUUGGGGUAGAAAAACAAUAUUUAAUGCCUGUACAUAUAAGUAUUGUAAUUAGUGUUGUUUCUCAGCAACAUGAUUACUAUUAGUCAUGCUAAGAUUUGAACCAAAUAGUAUGGAUGGUCUUUCUGCUUGCCAUUCCUUCCAGGUAUACAAUGUACUGAGAAACUUCAUUUGUUUCACAAGUGGUUCCAAUGCAGAAUACUUGGGUGAACCCUUUUGGGAGCUCCAACCUUGGCACUGAGAGAUACCAUACAACAAAAGCACAGCAAAGAUGCCUUCAAUGUGCAGCUAUAGAUGUGCUUUGUUCACUUUUAAAAUAAAUAUCUGUGUGUAAAUGAAUAGUGUGAACCCACCAUGUUAACAGUAUUAAAAGAUCAAAUCACCCUAGCUGGUUUGGCUCAGUGGAUAGAGCGUUGGCCUGUGGACUGAAGGGUCCUGGGUUUGAUUCCCAGUCAGCGCAUAUGCCUGAGUUGUGGGCUCGAUUCCCAGUGUGGGGCGUGCAGGAGGCAGCCAGCCGAUUAAUGAAUCUCUCUCAUCAUUGAGGUUUCUAUAGCUCCCUCUCUGAAGUCAGUAUAAAAGAUCAAGUCUACCCCAGAUUCUUUUUGGACUAAAAAUACAAGAUAUUAAAGUACUAGUUUCAAAAGACCAUUUAUUAAUUUUAAAUAUAUACAAUUCAUGGAUUAAAAUAUUCAAUUUAUUACCCAUAGGUUAUUUGCUGGGACUUUGUUUGGAAGGGGCUUCACCUUGACCACUUUUUCCCCCCCAAGGAAAGAGAAUUCCAAGUUAUCUUUCCUUUUACAUUCUUUCUAGACACUCUGAGCCAGUCACCUGGCUGUCUUAGGAAAUUACAAUGACAGCCUGUGAACAGGCUUUCUGGUUGCCCAUCUCUGAAAAGAAGGUCCCCCUGACUUUACCAGCCACUACUCCUAAAUAACCCAUCGUGAACAGCACAUUCCAAUACAAAUCACUGUGACACUGAGUGGCCACAAAUCAAAUGUAUACCAGUAGCAUUCCAACAGAAAUCUGUAAAUGCAUAGCAGUGAUUAAAUGACAAAGACCAACUGGUCAUGGAAUCUUCAAGAAAUAAAAUAAUGGGGAACAUGGAGGCACAGCAAGAAUUGUUAUGAAGAACUUAUCGAGACCAGCUAUUUCCACUUAAAACAAAAAAAAAACAAACCCCUGGGGCCUCCA